AUACUUACCUUGUUUCGCAUCCCCAAGAUCAAGAACCUGGGGAUGCAGUGAGGAGGGCCUGCAUUGCACACCCGCGGAGUCAGCUCCUCACUCCAUUGUCCUUCGGGGCCAUGGGAGGCACAAUUUUUGAUGUUGCUUCACUCUUGUUGUC
rnacentral:snRNA from 1 species